rnacentral:lncRNA from 1 species
UGGGGGAGGAGUGGAGGUUGGGUAGUUUUUGUUUGAAUCUUUCAUAGAUCAGGAUCAUGCACAGCUAAGGUGUGCAUUAACUACCUCAGAUAUACUGCAAAGUUCAAAUGUACUCUUAACUGAUCCUAGACUUUGAAAGGGGUGUAAUUCCAUAAAAUAAAAAUAAACAGCUGCGCCAUGAGCGCAUGUUACGCCCGUCGCUUUUUCAAAGAAUAAUAAAAGUUUAAUAACUUCUCAAUGUCAUAUCACAAAUUCAUGAAAAACUAAUGGGAGGUUAUGUUAAUAGAUAUAAACCUGGCGUCACCAAAGUUUCAUAACUGCUCAAAGCAUUGUCUGAAAACUGGAAUAUUCCCCCUUUUUAUGAUUAAAAUCAC